UACGAAGGGGGCUAGCGUUGUUCGGAAUUACUGGGCGUAAAGGGCGCGUAGGCGGUCUUUUAAGUCUUGUGUGAAAUCCCUCGGCUCAACUGAGGAACUGCACGGGAUACUGGAAGACUUGAGUUCGGGAGAGGGAAGCGGAAUUCCGGGUGUAGCGGUGAAAUGCGUAGAUAUCCGGAGGAACACCAGUGGCGAAGGCGGCCGACUGGUCCGGUUCUGACGCUGAGGCGCGAAAGCGUGGGGAGCAAACAGG
rnacentral:rRNA from 1 species